UACGAAGGGUGCAAGCGUUAAUCGGAAUUACUGGGCGUAAAGGGUGCGUAGGCGGUUCGUUAAGUCUGUCGUGAAAUCCCCGGGCUCAACCUGGGAAUGGCGAUGGAUACUGGCGAGCUAGAGUGUGUCAGAGGAUGGUGGAAUUCCCGGUGUAGCGGUGAAAUGCGUAGAGAUCGGGAGGAACAUCAGUGGCGAAGGCGGCCAUCUGGGACAACACUGACGCUCAGGCACGAAAGCGUGGGGAGCAAACAGG
rnacentral:rRNA from 1 species